rnacentral:rRNA from 1 species
AGUGAACGCUGGCGGUAGGCCUAACACAUGCAAGUCGAACGGCAGCACAGUAAGAGCUUGCUCUUACGGGUGGCGAGUGGCGGACGGGUGAGGAAUACAUCGGAAUCUACUUUUUCGUGGGGGAUAACGUAGGGAAACUUACGCUAAUACCGCAUACGACCUACGGGUGAAAGCAGGGGAUCUUCGGACCUUGCGCGAUUGUAUGAGCCGAUGUCGGAUUAGCUAGUUGGCGGGGUAAAGGCCCACCAAGGCGACGAUCCGUAGCUGGUCUGAGAGGAUGAUCAGCCACACUGGAACUGAGACACGGUCCAGACUCCUACGGGAGGCAGCAGUGGGGAAUAUUGGACAAUGGGCGCAAGCCUGAUCCAGCCAUACCGCGUGGGUGAAGAAGGCCUUCGGGUUGUAAAGCCCUUUUGUUGGGAGAGAAAAGCAGCAGGUUAAUACCCCGCUGUUCUGACGGUACCCAAAGAAUAAGCACCGGCUAACUUCGUG